rnacentral:rRNA from 1 species
CCUACGGGAGGCAGCAGUGGGGAAUUUUGGACAAUGGGCGCAAGCCUGAUCCAGCAAUGCCGCGUGCAGGAUGAAGGCCUUCGGGUUGUAAACUGCUUUUGUACGGAACGAAAAAGUCUGCCCUAAUACGGUGGGCCCAUGACGGUACCGUAAGAAUAAGCACCGGCUAACUACGUGCCAGCAGCCGCGGUAAUACGUAGGGUGCGAGCGUUAAUCGGAAUUACUGGGCGUAAAGCGUGCGCAGGCGGUUAUAUAAGACAGAUGUGAAAUCCCCGGGCUCAACCUGGGACCUGCAUUUGUGACUGUAUAGCUAGAGUACGGUAGAGGGGGAUGGAAUUCCGCGUGUAGCAGUGAAAUGCGUAGAUAUGCGGAGGAACACCGAUGGCGAAGGCAAUCCCCUGGACCUGUACUGACGCUCAUGCACGAAAGCGUGGGGAGCAAACAGGAUUAGAUACCCUGGUAGUCCACGCCCUAAACGAUGUCAACUGGUUGUUGGGUCUUCACUGACUCAGUAACGAAGCUAACGCGUGAAGUUGACCGCCGNGGGUAAGGUACGGCCGCGAGUAGUUAACGUUACGAAGAGAGUUAGACGGCGNGAGACGNGCGACGGACGACGACGAGGGAGGAGG